rnacentral:ncRNA from 1 species
UCUAAGGGGUGCUUGGUUUUUUGGCCUUGCUGAGAACAUACCCUAUAACCUGAUCCGGACAAUGCCGGCGUAGGUAGGAUAC